GGGGAUGAUCGGCCUAGACAGGAAGAUUCAUCAGAUUGAUGCGCGAGAGAGCUGAAGUGACUCUUUAAUCCGCUUCAAAAUUUAAGUGCAGACUCUAUUGUCGCACGAGCCAAGUCAAUUGUUUCGCCUUAUUUUACGGCGAACGACUUCGCUUUCGCUUACGUUCGAGUUUAACUCUAACCUAGCGACAUAGUCUCCAGGAGUGUCUCAUGCUUGGAAAGCUGUGUAAUUCAGACGGGACUUACGAAAUAAGAAUUCCUCGUCUUAUUUCAAAACUUAGAGGAUAGAGAUUUGAGGGUUUUGGUUUGUUUUGUACCUCAUUUCUCGAAUUAAACGAAGCAAACUACUUCGCGUAGAUUUCACUCUGAUUUCUUCUUGCACGCGCGUUCGAUUCGCGCCAUCUCCACUG
rnacentral:tmRNA from 1 species